GAAAUGCGAUAAGUAAUGUGAAUUGCAGAAUUCCGUGAAUCAUCGAAUCUUUGAACGCACAUUGCGCCCUCUGGCAUUCCGGGGGGCAUGCCUGUCCGAGCGUCAUUACGCACCCUCAAGCCCGGCUUGUGUGAUGGGCCCCGGCGUCUCGUUCGCGAGACGGGCCCGAAAGGCAGCGGCGGCGUCGACCCUAUGAGCCCGAGCGUAUGGGGACUUCUGUCACACGUUCGCGGUGCGGACCGGCGCCUGCUUUGACUUUCCUGAUUAUCCAGGUUGACCUCGGAUCAGGUAGGGAUACCCGCUGAACUUAAGC
rnacentral:misc_RNA from 1 species